rnacentral:rRNA from 1 species
AAAGCUCUGUUGUUAGGGAAGAACAAGUAUCGGAGUAACUGCCGGUACCUUGACGGUACCUAACCAGAAAGCCACGGCUAACUACGUGCCAGCAGCCGCGGUAAUACGUAGGUGGCAAGCGUUGUCCGGAAUUAUUGGGCGUAAAGCGCGCGCAGGUGGUUCUUUAAGUCUGAUGUGAAAGCCCACGGCUCAACCGUGGAGGGUCAUUGGAAACUGGGGAACUUGAGUGCAGAAGAGGAAAGUGGAAUUCCACGUGUAGCGGUGAAAUGCGUAGAGAUGUGGAGGAACACCAGUGGCGAAGGCGACUUUCUGGUCUGUAACUGACACUGAGGCGCGAAAGCGUGGGGAGCGAACAGGAUUAGAUACCCUGGUAGUCCACGCCGUAAACGAUGAGUGCUAAGUGUUAGAGGGUUUCCGCCCUUUGGUGCUGCAGCAAACGCAUUAAGCACUCCGCCUGGGGAGUACGGCCGCAAGGCUGAAACUCAAAGGAAUUGACGGGGGCCCGCACAAGCGGUGGAGCAUGUGGUUUAAUUCGAAGCAACGCGAAGAACCUUACCAGGUCUUGACAUCCUCUGACACCUCUGGAGACAGAGCGUUCCCCUUCGGGGGACAGAGUGACA